UUCAGAGAAUGAGAGUAAAGAGGAGUGAGCCUGGAUCUCUGGAGGUGGCUUUAUUCUUCUUUAAACACGGAUCAAGCUGCACGCUGCAUUGAUAGAUGGACAUGUUUCAAGGCAAAGGUGAACAGGUUGUCUGUGUCGGAUACAGAAAGAGGCUCUGUGAUGACUGUGACGAUGAAAACGCUGAAGACAAACAGUCUCCAGCUUCCAUCUGCUCCAGAAACAUCCAUCAGCAGACAUGCUUCAGCUAUCAACAGCUGCCCACAGAAAACACAUCAAGCACUUGAUUUCUUGUGCUGGGAGGUCGGAGGAACAGCAGGACUAGGCCCUCUACUGGCUUGAAAAAUCCCACAAACCUUUGAACAUAAUCCCAGACCAGGCCGAAGGCAGACAGUGUGGGAAGUGGAGCUGACACACAGCCUCCUUAGGACCAUGGAUGUCGAACAGCGGCCCUGCAGCCUUCUUGCCGGCUGAUUGGAGGAGGCUCUCAUCCCAUUGGACAGUCCUGUACUGAAGCUCCAC